rnacentral:pre_miRNA from 1 species
AGUGGGAUAGCUGGGUCAAAUGGUGGUUGCAUUUCAAGUUUUCUGAGGAAUGUCCAUACUGUUUUCCAUAAAGUUGCACCAAAUUGCAUUCCCACAAGCAAU